rnacentral:rRNA from 1 species
GACGAACGCUGGCGGCGUGCUUAACACAUGCAAGUCGAGCGGUGAAGUCCCUUCGGGGGCGGAUCAGCGGCGAACGGGUGAGUAACACGUGGGCAACCUGCCCUCAGCACUGGGAUAACCCCGAGAAAUCGGGGCUAAUACCGGAUAUGACCUCCGACGGCAUCAUCGGUGGUGGAAAGCUCCGGCGGCUGAGGAUGGGCCCGCGGCCUAUCAGCUUGUUGGUGGGGUCACGGCCCACCAAGGCGACGACGGGUAGCCGGCCUGAGAGGG